rnacentral:piRNA from 1 species
UGGCAGCGCUGUUUUCUGAGACA